GCCCAGAGAAAAUCCUCACCGACCAGGGGUCUGUGUUUGAAUCACAGUUGUUCCAGGAGAUGUGCCUGCUACAUAAUUGCCAGAAGGUCCGGACCACAGCCUACCAUCCACAAGGUAAUGGACUCUGUGAAAAAAUUAAUCAAACCCUCAUUGAAAUGUUGAGAGCAGUGCCCCCUGAAACAAGGGGUAAUUGGCCUACUCUGCUGCCACAUUUUAUGUAUAUGUAUAACAAUACAAUUCAUUGUUUCAACGGGUACACACCCUUCUAUUUGAUGUUCGGCCGUCAGGUGAAGCUGCCUGCUGGGUGGUGGAGCAUCAAAGACGUCUCCUUAAUGCCAAGCAAAUUGUUCAGGAGCGCAUGGAAAGUGUCUGAGAGCGGCAGCAGAGAGACUAUGACCUGGCUGCUCAUGCAGAACCUCUUGCUGUAGGAAACGUGGUAUGGCUGAAAAAUAACCACCGAAUCAGCAAGCUGAACAUACUUAAAGAACUGAAAAAAAAAAUGGUUGCCCUUCAACGGGACCACACCCAGCAAUUGCGGAAGUUCCAGGAGCAGCCCAACAGAAAGAUGAGGGAGAUGAGGCUCCAGUACCCCCACCAAAUGGGUGUGUUGGAGGAGCAGCACAACAAGGCCAUGGAGGAAAUCCUAAACCUCCACGAUCAAUUAAAAGCCUUGCCUUAAGGCAAAUUGUUAAUUUAAUUCCUUUUUUGUUUAUACAAAUAUAAUGUUUUAAUAUUUAA